CAAGUCGUGGGGCAGCAGGGGUAGCAAUACCCGCUGGCGACCGGCAAACGGGUGCGGAACACGUACGCAACCUUCCUUUAACUGGAGAAUAGCCCCUCGAAAGAGGGAUUAAUACUCCGUAACAUAUACAUGUGGCAUCACAAGUAUAUUAUAGCUCCGGCGGUUAAAGAUGGGCGUGCGCCUGAUUAGAUAGUUGGCGGGGUAAUGGCCCACCAAGUCUGCGAUCAGUAACUGGUGUGAGAGCACGACCAGUCACACGGGCACUGAGACACGGGCCCGACUCCUACGGGAGGCAGCAGUAAGGAAUAUUGGUCAAUGGACGCAAGUCUGAACCAGCCAUGCCGCGUGGAGGAUUAAGGCCCUCUGGGUUGUAAACUCCUUUUAUCUGGGAAGAAAUGCAGAAAUUCUUUUCUGCUUGACGGUACCAGAGGAAUAAGCACCGGCUAACUCCGUGCCAGCAGCCGCGGUAAUACGGAGGGUGCAAGCGUUAUCCGGAUUCACUGGGUUUAAAGGGUGCGUAGGCGGGCAGGUAAGUCCGUGGUGAAAUCUCUGAGCUUAACUCAGAAACUGCCAUGGAUACUAUUUGUCUUGAAUAUUGUGGAGGUAAGCGGAAUAUGUCAUGUAGCGGUGAAAUGCUUAGAUAUGACAUAGAACACCAAUUGCGAAGGCAGCUUACUACACAGUUAUUGACGCUGAGGCACGAAAGCGUGGGGAUCAAACAGGAUUAGAUACCCUGGUAGUCCACGCCCUAAACGAUGAUUACUCGACAUCAGCGAUACACUGUUGGUGUCUGAGCGAAAGCAUUAAGUAAUCCACCUGGGAAGUACGAUCGCAAGAUUGAA
rnacentral:rRNA from 1 species